rnacentral:rRNA from 1 species
UACAGAGGUCUCAAGCGUUGUUCGGAUUCAUUGGGCGUAAAGGGUGCGUAGGCGGCGCGGUAAGUCGGGUGUGAAAUCUUGGAGCUUAACUCCGAAACUGCAUUCGAUACUGCCGUGCUUGAGGACUGGAGAGGAGACUGGAAUUUACGGUGUAGCGGUGAAAUGCGUAGAUAUCGUAAGGAAGACCAGUGGCGAAGGCGGGUCUCUGGACAGUUCCUGACGCUCAGGCACGAAGGCCAGGGGAGCAAACGGG